rnacentral:rRNA from 1 species
GACGAACGCUGGCGGCGUGCUUAACACAUGCAAGUCGAACGGAAAGGCCCUGCUUUUGUGGGGUGCUCGAGUGGCGAACGGGUGAGUAACACGUGAGUAACCUGCCCUUGACUUUGGGAUAACUUCAGGAAACUGGGGCUAAUACCGGAUAUGAGCUCCUGCUGCAUGGUGGGGGUUGGAAAGUUUCGGCGGUUGGGGAUGGACUCGCGGCUUAUCAGCUUGUUUGUGGGGUAGUGGCUUACCAAGGCUUUGACGGGUAGCCGGCCUGAGAGGGUGACCGGCCACAUUGGGACUGAGAUACGGCCCAGACUCCUACGGGAGGCAGCAGUGGGGAAUAUUGCACAAUGGGCGGAAGCCUGAUGCAGCAACGCCGCGUGCGGGAUGACGGCCUUCGGGUUGUAAACCGCUUUCGCCUGUGACGAAGCGUGAGUGACGGUAAUGGGUAAAGAAGCACCGGCUAACUACGUG